AUUGAACGCUGGCGGCAUGCCUUACACAUGCAAGUCGAACGGUAACAGGUCUUCGGAUGCUGACGAGUGGCGAACGGGUGAGUAAUACAUCGGAACGUGCCCGAGAGUGGGGGAUAACGAAGCGAAAGCUUUGCUAAUACCGCAUACGAUCUCAGGAUGAAAGCAGGGGACCGCAAGGCCUUGCGCUCACGGAGCGGCCGAUGGCAGAUUAGGUAGUUAGUGGGAUAAAAGCUUACCAAGCCGACAAUCUGUAGCUGGUCUGAGAGGACGACCAGCCACACUGGGACUGAGACACGGCCCAGACUCCUACGGGAGGCAGCAGUGGGGAAUUUUGGACAAUGGGCGCAAGCCUGAUCCAGCCAUGCCGCGUGCAGGAUGAAGGCCUUCGGGUUGUAAACUGCUUUUGUACGGAACGAAAAGACUCCUUCUAAUAAAGGGGGUCCAUGACGGUACCGUAAGAAUAAGCACCGGCUAACUACGUGCCAGCCGCCGCAGUAAAAC
rnacentral:rRNA from 1 species